GUCCGCGGGAGCUAGACUGUGGGGAGCUGUGCAGGCUGCGGGGCUGUCUUCCAGCCAGUCCAGCACCAGGCGCCUCAGCCCGCAGCCCUCAGCCAGGAUGCUCCUCAGCUUCCGCAGGAACCGCCGGAGCCAGUUCAACCACAUCAUCCAUGGCUUCCUCCCUGCAGCCAGCAUUGCUCCGAAGCCAGCUGUGCCACGCACACCCCCUCCCCGAAGCCCCAACCCCUCUCCAGAGAGGCCCAGAUCUGCUCUGGCUGCAGCCAUCCUGGCAACCACCUUGACUGGACAGACAGUUGCCAUUCCUCAGCCUCGCCAGAGAUCCCGGUCUGAGAGUGAUGCCUCCCAAGUUGAAAAGGACAGCUUCAUCGAGCCAUAUGCCACCACCUCAGAGCUGAGGCUUCGGCAAAGCUGGCAGAAUGAGCCGAAAAGGACUUCCUUGCCGUCCUUUGAGACGUUGGGCUACCGGGAGGAUGAAGAUGCUGAAACACAGGUGUCCAGCAGCUGCAGGGAGUCGGAGUCCACCACCUGGAAGGAUGUGGGAGACGGCAGAGGUGCAGCGUACGCUGUGCCUCUCAGGCGUCAGGUAUCGUCGUCACAAAAGCUGGUGAGAAAAGGUGAUGCUUCUGAGCAAGACUGGCUUUCAGACUCCUCCUCCUCCUCCUCCACACCGCAGGACACUCAACAGAAAGAUGUUAAGCCCUCUGUUCCGAAUCUAGAGGAUGAGAAAGUACCACUGUGUAAAAAGACCCCUCCCUCUCCAGAUGUAGCUGGUAGAAUACAUCAAAGAUAUACAAAAAUAACCAAAGAAAAGUUUGACGAGUUAAAAGAAGAAACAGUGCAUCUUUACACUGCAAACCAAGCCCUCAGCCUUGAACUGAGCACUCUGAGACAGGCAAUGAAGGACUUACAGCUGAAGCUCAAGAUAGUGGAAAAAGACAACAGGAAGCUGAAGGAAACAGAAAAGGCCUCCUCUCAGGAAGUAGUCACACCUGAAUUGCUUUGCUUAAGGAAGCAAAGCCAAGACCUGGUGGAUGAGAACGAGGGCCUGAAGAUGAUUAUCCAUCGCCUGAAUGUAGAACUCAGUCGCUACCAGACAAAAUUCCGGCCUUUGUCUGAGGAAGAGAGUUCCUAUAUUGAAGGCCUCCCAUCUAAGGGCCCCACACCCCCCUGGUUGGUGGAUAUAAAGUACCUCUCACCCCUGUUGCUGGCUUAUGAAGACAGAAUGAAAGAAAAGGACAAACUCAGCACCGCCCUGGAGGAGGAAAUGAAAACCUUUAGACUGCGAGUCCAAGAAGUGGUGAGGGAAAAUGAAGGCUUGCACCAAGAGUUAACUAAGAGAAGCCCCGUCACCAUCGAGGAAUGGAGGCAGCUUCAGACUCAAGCAGAGCUGGUUCUAGAUGAGAACAAGCUCUUGAUAGAGCAGUUGGAGAUCCAGCAAACGAAAGCCAAGGACACCCAGCAGGCGCACCUCCGGGACGUUUCUAAGCUGACUAAACAACUUGUGCUCCUGGAGGCAAAGACUCAGAGCCAGGAAAAGCAGCUCAUGGAAAGCAAGGAGCAGCUGGAGAGCUUGGAGGCCAGAUGCCGAGAGCUCAAGACACAGCUGGAUAGCAAGAUCGCACCAGACGUCCACACAUCAAUUGUCAAUGAACUAAAAAGCCAGUUGCAAAAGGAAGAAGAGAAAGACAGUGCUGAGAUGGAGGAGCUGAUGGGAAAGCUGACAGCCCUGCAGGUGCAGAAGAAGAGCCUGCUUCUGGAGAAGAGCAGCUGGGCCACCAGCAACAGAGCACUAGAGGCUGAGCUGGAGCUCACACGCAAGGCCAACAGGCGAUACCAAAAGAAGAUUGGUGUCCUCAGAAAGCAGGUAGAAAAGGCCAUGGGGAAGGAGAUGUCCGCUCACCAGUACCUGGCAAACCUGGUGGGCUUGGCAGAGAAUGUCACCAAGGAACGAGACAGUCUUAAGUAUUUGAUGCUGGAGAAGCGCACAGCCAGCAAGAACCUGGCACGGUUCUAAACACUUCCACACUGAUUCAAAAAGAUGUCUGCAACAGAUUGUGUGGUCGGAGAAGACAGCUGCUCUCUGUGUCAAGCCAUGUGCGUUCAGAAAGGUCUGGUAGAUUCCCCCAAGCUCUGAAAGCUCAGUGUUUAGAGAUCGAGAAGCACGGGGUCCUCAACAAAAUCCUGAAAGGCAACAUUCGCCUGGGCAGGCUGGAGGAAAGGGUAAAGGGGUACAAGAAGCAGGCGGCACUGAAGCUGGGGGACAUCCAUCACCGCCUGAUGGAGCAGCAGGACGACUUUGCUGGCAAAGCAGCCCAGUACCAGAAGGAGGUGAAGCACCUGCACCACAUGCUGCAGAGGAAGCAGGAGGUCCUGGAUGAGGCACUGCAGCAGAAAAGAAAUAUGGAAGGUGAGCUUGAAAUGGUCCUGGAGUCCACUGCCAAGGAGAACAGACGGAUGCGGGGCCUUCUCCAGGCCGCCCUGCAGAGGAAAGGCAUACAGUGCGCCACAGCUCCUCAAGACACUUGCUUGAGCCGCCUCUCUCAGGGAGACCUGCUAAUUGGCCAUGAUUUCAGCUAUGGUGACGUGCAGCUUCCUGCUACCAGAGUCUGCCAGAGUCUGGGGGAGUCUGUGGCAUAGAUCUCCUGUCUGAGGUGUCUGCCUCCUGCAGGCUGGUGGGUGACUUCUCUCCCCAUGCGGGCCAAUGUGACAAGGAGGCCCAUGGAAGCCACUGAGUGUCACAGGCAAGAAUGAAAUAAACCUGCCCAGGCAUCA